rnacentral:lncRNA from 1 species
GAAAAACCAGUAGAAGCCGAGGCCGACGGUGAGGGCCGCGGCGCCCCAGACGAGUACCGCAACAGGGAGAGGCAUCAUUGCCGCCACUCUGUAGGAGAACAUCACAGUUAAGAAAGAGGCGAGAAACCACACUGCGGUUCUGAGAUGGCGCCGCCGCGGGGAAUUGCGCGGUGCGGCUUCGUGCAGGUGAAGGCAGUAGAAGAGGAGCAGCAGGUCGAGGAAGGAGAGGACGACGAAGGACACCAGCCAUGGGUUGUCCCUCGCCCGAUAGACCGCCACCGCCGUGUUGAAGCCGAGGAAGAUCAAACCCGCCGACGGCAGCCUGGAGAAGGCGUCUAACCCCCCCCGACCGGGCUGCGCCGGAGGAGGAUUUUGAUUCUGGUUUUGGUUUUGGUCGGCGUCCUGGCGGUUCUGUUCAGCAUGAGCUUUCUCGUCUGCCAUGGCUGCAAGAAUGAAUGGAGUAGGGGGAAAAACUCCUUGUUAACUUACAAACUAGAAAUUCAAAACUCAGUUUUCAGUGCCGCAAAUAAAACGUUCAGUUUAGCCCGAAGCCGGAAAAGGGGCCGGAAGGGGAAUGAAGAAAAAGCAGGAAUUGCGUCCUGACCUUAUUGCUUUGCUUGAGAUAACAAGCUAUUUAUAUACCUGGGUGGGAGUCUAUUUAAAAAUAAUUAGUAUUAGGUCCAUAUAUUUUUCAAAGCAACUGGGUGACCCCGUGGUAAUAAAAUUCUUAAUAUUUAUAUGACUUCACAAGAGCCUGUCAAUCUAAUAAAAAAAAUAUCUCUCAAACUUAAGGUUGAUAUUGCAAGUGUGAUUUGAUGUUUGAUGCUUUUGGUUUUUUCGUGGAUUUACGUAGCUCCGUAUGAAUAAGGGGCCCACAGCUCAAUUUUUGAGGUUCCUGUAUUCGCACUCGGUUUCACGCCAGUUGGCAGCGACUAUUCUUUUCUCGAAAAUAUAUAUAUAUAUUUUUUUGGGUGUUUCGCAUCAAGAAUAAUCCGCUUUGGAUGGUACGGGCUCCGAUAUACGCCGAAGGGCUGUUACCGUCCCCCAAAAAAAAAAAAAAAAAAAAAAAAAAAAAAAAUCAGAGGGAGCCCAGAUAAGUAUUACUAUUUAUAGACCUUACCGUUUUUUCUUUCUUUCUUUUUUUUUUUCCCCUCAGUAUAGGCUUAAGGCCGGUCGCGUUGUCCCUUUCUUUUUGUUCUUUUGACAGUAGUAGUGCAAUGUAGGCAGAAUCCAUCCAAUAGAUCAAAUAAUUAGAAACAAACAGAUUUGACGCUUAUGUUCCAGCAAUAAUUUUGUUAAACAAAGUUUUAUCCGCGGUAGCGUGUAGGAGUUGCCGAGUUAUUACAUGUAAAAUUAAUAUUAUCUAUUAAAAUCUCAUACAAUAAAAAGAUGAGUCAAUGCAAUGGAUAGGUACCAAUUCUACAUGGGAAAAACCGAGCUCUCCUUUGUAUCUACUUGAUUUUUUUUUUUAAAAAAAAAUGCAGUACNUAUAUAUAUAUAUAUAUAUAUAUAUAUAUAUUUUAAGAGAUAGAUAGCACGCUAUUCAUUUUGUUUAUUUCAUUUAGAAAUAAACUUAGUGAAUCAAGUAGGAUUCGAACUUGAAUCUCGGGUACUAACCAAUAAGUUUUUUGCCACUUGCUUUAGAAACGAUCAGUUACAACGGCUACAUUAGCAAGUUCCCACCUACUGUAGUAUUCAAAUAUAAAAUAAUAGUACAAAAAAUACAACCGGAGCUGUUGCACCUAACCCGUUUGGACGAUUAGAUGACCCAACUCCAUUUGUCAGAGUACAUUACAAAAUGCCGGCCAUCACGGACCGGAACAUGUGGCUCGAAUCAGAAUUUAUUCUUUUUUAUUAUUAUUUAAAUUUUAGGCUGUUUGAAUAUAUCGCUCUCCUCGAUUGUAUCCACUUUAAAUUCAUAAACACUGGUGAAGGACACGCACGUUACAGCGGUAUAAUUUUAUAGAAAUAAAUAUAUAAAUAAAAUAUAAAAUAGUAAAAUAUAUAGCAAACAAAUUAUAUAGAAAAAAGUAAUCAAAAAAUAAGCAACUAUUGCUAUAAUAAAAAAAUAAGAAUAAUACCUCUAUAGAUUUAGGAAUAAAUUAUAACAGUGUAAUAUUUUCAGCUGUUUAUAUUUUAAAUUUUGUCAUCACAAAUAUAUCCUUCACAAAUCAUAACAAUAUAAUAUAAGUGAGAUAAAAAUAUCAAAAUAUAUCAUCGAAAAAUUUAGGAGUAAACCCUUAACCCACUCAAUUUUAAAUUUUAAAUAUUUAAUUUUAAAUAUUUUAGAAAAAGCAAGUUGUCACGUCCCUGGUUGAAAUGAUUCUAUAAUUUUUUUUUAAAUCCAAUCUUUUAAAAUUUUAUUUUGAUUAUUCAAUUUUUUGAUAUAUUAGAUUUGAGUAAGUCGAUGAUAUUUUGAUUUUAAAAAUUUGAGUGCAUCGUUUUUUGAUAUAUUGGAUUUGAGUUGAAUGUAUAAUCUCUCACUUUUACCUAGUAUUUUUACCUUUUUUAUAUAAAAUUAUAUAUUUAUUGUUAUAAUGUAGGGAUUGAAAAAAAGAAUUGUCAAAUAAUAUUUUUGAAAAAAAAAAAGUUUAGAAAGUGGAAUUAGACCAGAAUGCUUCUAAUAGCACAAAGUCAUUAGUGCUAUUAGGUUUUUAACUUUUGGAUGAAAAAGAUGUAUAGUUAUGAUGAUAGUGUUUUCUUAAGUUUGAGUGGUAGUUGGUUGAAUAAUAUGAUCUAACGAAUGUAAAUAAUCAAAAAAAUAAAUUUAACGGUAAAAAAAUUUGAUAAUACUAAAUGUUUGGUACUAUUAGAAGCAUUCUAGUCGGACUCAUAGAAAGUGAGAAGAAUAUAGUAUAAUCUGGCAUAAUUAUCUUAGAAAAAAACUUCAAAUACCACACUGUGGUUUUGCAUUUUCUCACUUUAGUACGCUGUGGUUUAAAGUGUAUCAAUUCAGUACCUGUGGUUUCAUUUUUUUCUUUUCGUCAACUCCUUCAUUAACAUUUCAUUAAAUUAUAUAUAAAAAACUUAAGAUACUCCAUCUAGAUUUAUCGAAUAUUCACUUUAGUAUCUUUUAGUUUUAACUUUGUUACUGAUUUAAUAAAAAAAUUUAAUAUAAAAAGUAAUAAAAAAAAUUUAAAAUUAUGAAAAAUUAAAUUGAUACACUUUUAGGCUGUGUUUGGUUGGAGGGAUAUCCCAGAACAAGGCGGGAUAUCCCUCCAAACACAAUGCAUUUUGGAACAACCGGGUUGUUCCCGGCUUAACGGGUUGUUCCGGAAACAACCGGGUAAUCUUGUUCUCCCUUUUACGGAGAACAAGCAGGAACAAGAGAUUUGGGCUUUUUUUUUUUUUUUUUUCUGCUUAAUGUGUUUAUACUUUAUUAUAAUUAAUUUCAAAUAAAUUAAAUGAAUGCUCAAAUUUAAUAAAUAAUAUAUUUAAUAUAAAUAUUAUUUUUAUGAUAAUAUAUUUAUACUUAAAUUUUAUUAUAUAUAUAUUAAUUAAAUUGAUAUAUAUUUUUUAUUAAGUUUUAUCAUUAUAUAUUAAAUUUAAUUAUUUUUUUAUUUAUUAUUAUUAUUACAUAAAAAUUAUUUUUUCAUAUAUUAUAUAUAUUUUUUAACUUGUAUUGAAAUUUAUACUUAAAUUUUUAUGAUAAUAUAUUAUAUAUUAAAUUUAUUAUAUAAUAUAAUUAAUUAAAUUUGAAUAUAUAUUUAUUUUAUUAAGUUUUAUCAUUUAUUUAUAUAUUAAUAUUUAUUAUUUUAUUUAUAUUAUGUAUUAUAUACAUAAAAUCAUUUUAUCAUUAUAUAUAAUAUAUAAUAUAUAUAUAUAUAUAUAUAUUUAUAAUUAUAUAUAUAUAUUAUAUAUAAUUGUAUUGAAAUUUAUAAUUAAAUUUUUAUCUAUGAUAAUAUAUUUAUACUUAAAUUUUAUUAUAUAAUAUAAAUUAAUUAAAUUUGAUAUAUUUUUUAUUUUAUUAAACUCUAUCAUUUAUACUUUAAUAUUUAAUUAUAUAUAUAUUUUUUAUUUGUAUUAAAAUUUAUACUAAUUAUUAAUUAAAAAUAUAGGGAUAUUGUUAGUAUUAUACUUUAUUCAUUAAUAUAUUAUGAAUAAAUUAUAGAAAAUAAAUUAUUACAUAAAAUAAAUUAUUAUAUAUAAUAAAAUAACAUAUAUUAUUUUAAAUUAGAUUCUUACAUAAAAUAUUAUAUUAUAAAUUACUAUAUGAAAUAAUUUUAUAAAUAAUUUCAUAUAAAAUAUACUAAUAUAAAUUAAUUAUUUUAUUUUUAAAAAUAUAUUUAGACGUUGUUCUAGACUUUUUAUCCAAACGCUAUUAAGGAUAUCCUCUAGAAUAUCCUCGAAUGUAUCCAAACACAAAUUUACAAUUGUUCUAUCUUGUACCGGAAUAUUCCCUGUUCUCGGGAACAAUAAAAAUUAUUCUCCAAAAUUUAGUGCUCCAACCAAACGCAGCCUUAAAUUAUUGGAUACAAAUAAAAAAAUUGCGAAAUCUAGAAUUUUAGGUUUUCAAAAAAUUAUUUAUUGAGAUUUUCUUCGUGAUGGGUACAACGCGAAGCUUCGCGGAAGUUUCCCACAGACAUGAAAACUGUAGAGUAAGGGACAGCAUGUGCUUUUGAACAGUGGUGGGGUACACACUCCUAGAAUAGAUCAAAAUUUUGCAUCUUUCUUAUUAGUCUUCUAACUUUUUUAACUUAUUUGUAUUAUCUUUUUAAUUGAAAGUUUAAAAAUAUUUUGUAAAUCUUUGAAUGUUUGAGGUGUAAAAUAUAAACUUAGCUAUAGAUGCUCACGUAGCAUUUUUGUCUUUUGUUUUUUUUUUUUUUGUUUUUAUCUUAAAAUUAAUUAUUCGGUAUGCCCAGGAGUAAAAUGGGUAUUGCCACGCCCUCAACUGCUUCCCACUUAAGAUGAUGUAUGGCGCACCGCCGUUGUAUUUCAGCCUUAUCUAGGCAUAUAAAUUAAGACCUUAUCAAGAUGUUGGAACAUAAUAUUUAAUAACAUUUUAUUCUGUAUAUUAUUUUUUGCAUAAUUGAAAAUUAAAAUUUUGGCUUUUAGUUUUGUAUAUGUUUAGUGCCCAUAAUUUUGUGAAAAAUUAUAUUUUAUUUACAAACUAAUUGCAGUAGAUCUUCUAUAAUAUAACUUUUAUGUAUUAUUAAUGUACGAAUCAGAAUGACUUUGCUAGAAUAUAUGCAUAAAUCAAUAAAAUAAAUAUAUAUUCUAAAUAUGUUGAUAUCAGAGUGGCCCAUUUUGCAAGAAUAAAAGAACCAUUGGUAGCGCCAACUGAUUAGAUUGCCACGAAAGCGAUCCCUUACCAAAAGCCUCUUUACUCUUCCUCUAACCAAGAGAAAAGUAUAAAAGAAGAAAAGCAAAUUUCAGGUUCUGAUGCGACCAACUCAAAGCGUGGUGGAACCACCCAACGCGAGAAAAAAAAAAUGUAACUAAUCAUAUAAUUUUUCCGAAAUUCAUCCGUUCUAUUCCUCAUUAUUAAAAAAUUAUUUUUAUUAUAUUUUUUUAUAAAAUAAAUAAAUAAUUAUUAAUAAUACGAUGUAAAUACGAUGCAAUAGACUUUUUCUUGUGAAAGAGUGAGAAAUGAUGUCCGAGAAUUUUCUUUUCCUUUUUUUUAAAGCCGAAUCUUCAUUUUGCGAGUAGAUACUUGCGUGGGAAUCGUUUGAGCAAUUUCCGUCAACUUUUUUUGUCGGUCGUUGAGGGUCACCAUCGUAGUUUUUAUAUUUCUUUGUUUCUUCGAGAACUUUUCUAAACAUUUUCUAAGCUACCGUUUGGAUCGGGGUUAAAAAAAAACUAAUUAUUCGAGAGGUAGGGUUAAGUGUAGGGUUAAGGUGGGAUUAAAGUAUUUUUGUGUUUAGUUGGGGGUUGGAGUUAGUCCAGGAUAGUAAAAUAUAGUGUUUGGUUAGAGUAGGUGAGAUAAAAAGAAUAAUGGGUUAUUAUGAAUAGAAAAUAGUAUUUUGUUAGAAUUUGGUGGAGUUAGGUAGGGUUAGCUAAUCCGGAAUAACCCAUUUAAGAUAGAAUUAACUAACCUCAUCCAUUUUUUAAAAUAUUUGAAAAUAAAAUAAAGAUUAAGAAGUUAUUCUAUUCCUUAAUCCCUAAUCAAACGGAGGCUUAAAGAAAUCGCGUCGAGCGCCGACAAUGACACGUUCUUAAACAGGAGGGCCAUGUGAAACCUACUCUCAGCACAACCAAGUCACCGAGAGCUAUUUAAGAUUUAAAAGGACAUGCACAGCUUUGAUUUUGACAACAUUUAAUCACUUCAUUUAUUUUUUCUUCUUCCUAUCAAUUCUUUGAAUAUUAUUUUACUUCAAAAACAGCGGUAUGUGUAUAUAUUGACUAUCAACUUCAUUUAUUUAAAAAUUUUUAUUUAUUUUUACUUAUUUUAUCAAUUCUUAUAUUUUUAAAGUAUAUCCUUUAUUUGAGUGUCGGUGAAUUUUAGAACGUUGAGAAUGUCUAAGAUUUGCUCCGAUAGAUAGAGAUAAAUGAAUACAAUGCGUGUUCAGUUCAUUAGGCACCGCGCGCUCAAUGACAAUCCGGUAAAAUAAUGUGCUUAUAUCUUUCCAUAUACAGAGGUUGAUUGAUUUUAGAUAAAAUCGGGCUGAAGGCAUCGUCAGAUCGUAUCAGUUAAAAGAUUUGGUGAAAUCAUAUUAAAGUGCUCACAGUAAUCUAAGAACUUGAAGUUUGUUAAGUAAAGAAACCUCCCAUAUAUAUUACAUACAUAUAAGAUUACUAAUUUACAUCUAAUACAAAAAUAAUAUUCUCAAGUAAGAUUAUUAUUUUAAUUUUUCGCUUGGAUAAAUUUGGUUAGAAAUUAAGCACUUCCUGGGACGAAACCGGAGACGCACAACUUUAGCUGGUAUGAAUAGAGAGAACGUGACGUGCACGCAAUUGGUUUACGUCGCUUUACCUGAAUCGUGCAACGACUCAUGGAUUGACUAUGUCAAUAAUUGUUGGCUCCCGCGCGUGAAAGUAACGCAUAAAAGACUUUUCGCAAGUACCUUAUGUAAAUUUAAAUUAAAUAAAAAAUAAUAAUGUUAGAAAUUUGACUGGCCUGAAAAUAUUUUUUUUUUAAUUUUGAUAUCACGUAAAAUAAUUAUUGUAUUCUAAAUAAUUAAAUCGAUAGAAAGCAGUGUUUAUAUAUUUUAAUAUUUAAUAUUUCUAAUUUAAUCUUAUUUAAAAUUUAUUUUAUUAAAUUAGUCACCUUAUAAAAAUAUUUUUAAAUUUAGUCUUUCUUUAAUUUAUUAAAAAAUAACUUUUAGUGCCAAUCAAAGAGAGCAUUUUUUUAUCGACUGUUCAUAUCGCAAGUGGCAAAGAACUUGAUCGUUGGUAUUCGAGAUUUCAAGUUUGAAUCACAGUUGAUUUACAUUUUCAUCUAAGUUUAUUUCAUAAACGAAGUGAGUAACAUGCUACCUAUCUCUCUCUCAAAAAAGAAAAAAAAAGAUUGAGAGAAUUCUUUUUCUUAAAAAGUGUACCGAUCACCUAAAUACCAGCCUAAGAAAAAUUAAAAGACCUACACAAAUUUAAAUACGAAUUGAGGGGGUAUAUAUAUGUGGAGCGUUUGUAAGUUGUAACGCUCCAUUGGGGAGUAUGAUGAUGGCAUGCGCGGCUGCGUAGCGUGUAGGGAAACGAGCACUACGUACGUUGGUAGUAAAAUUUUGUAUAAUUCUUAUUCUACCAUGCAUGUGCAUGAAAAUAAAUUUUGGUACACGUAAUUGCUUAGUAAUGGCCUGAUGUAUUAAGAGGAUCCGUAUUUUCUACGACUCACCGAAUGACUAUCCUAGCGAGGGCCCGUGCUACCAAAUGUGGACCCUAAGCAAAAGCAAAGCAAAUUAAUUCUAAGAGGUCAAUGUUCUUAAUUCACCUUCCUUCUGUUCUGAAUCUGUCUCGAAUUAUAAGAUGAUCAUACUUACUAUUCUAAAUCUUUUAUUACGUGUCACUUAUUAUUAUUCUGCUGGAAAUGAGUAGGAGUGGGAACUUCCCCGAAUUCGGAUCUAUUUGCAUCCUAUUCCCAACUGUACGUAGACUUGCUAGCGAUUUGUACUAUUUUUCUUUCAAUCAGAAAAAAAAAGUUUGUGUCAUUGUCAGUUUUUUUCUUGGCACAACUAUGUAGACGGAGAUUUCCAUUGUUUAAAGGCCACCAUUUUCCAUGAUGUGUUAGCUUUAACUUCAUCUGACGUAAGAAGCAAGAAACAAGAAGCAAGAAGAGUCACCAAGCUAGGGUACGCAAAUAGAUCAUUUUCGUGACGACGUGUUGUCCACUUGACCUUAAAUAAAUGUCACUAGACGUUUUUAAUCUUACGCAACUGUAUAUUAAUCGUUGUUUAGUUGCCAAGUUGUUCAACUGGAAUUAGAUGCGCGGCUCCCGUUCGUCAACUCCUCUAAACAACGCGAAGUCAUGCGAGACAUGUUAUUGUUUUCUAAAGCGUCGUCUACAAAAAUGACACAACGAAUUAAGUGAUAAGUUUAAUUAUAAUUAACUAAUUUAUUAUGUUACUCGGGUUGAAAGAGUAUAAGCAAUAUAUAUAUAUAUAUAUAUAUAUAUAUAUAGAAUUGAGCUCCUAUACUUUUAAAAGUACCAAGUCAUUGGUACUUGUAAGUUUUCGGUCCUUAGAUUAAGAAAUAUGCGAUUAGGAUGAUGUGGGUUCCCUAGGGUUGAGUGGAUAGUUGGUUUAAUAGUAUAAUCUAACGGUUGAAAAUGAUUAAAGACGUAGAUCUAACGGUAAAAAACUUACAAGUACCAAGUGCUUGGUGCUUUUACAAGCNUAUAUAUAUAUAUAUAUAUAUAUAUAUAUUGAAUUGAGCUCCUAUGCUUUUAUAAGUAUCAAGUUAUUAGUGCUUGUAAGUUUUCGGCCCUUGGAUUAAGGGAUGUACGGUUAUGAUGAUGUGGGCCCUAUAGGAUUGAGUGAUUAGUUGAUUGAAUAGUAUAAUCUAACGGGUGAAAAUGAUCAAAAGCGUAGAUCUAACGGGAAAAAAUUCACAAGCACCAAGUGCUUGGUGUUUUUACAAGCACCAUAGCCGAACUCAUAUAUAUAUAUAUAUAUAUAUAUAGAGAGAGAGAGAGAGAGAGAGAGAGUUGGACUGCGCUACUAUUAGUAGCAAAAUCUCAUUGUUGCUACCAGUUUUUUAGCCUUUGGAUCAACUCUUUUCAUUAUUUCUAAUCAUUGGAUUAAAUACUAUAACCCAGACCACUCAACCCUAGGAGGACCACUCAACUCUAACCGACUAAUAUCAUCCUGACCCUACAAUUUUUCAUCCAAGAAUUAAAAACUUGAUAGCAAAAAGAGCGUUUUACUAUUAAUAGUAUUCCAGCCUAAUUCUAUAUAUAUAUAUAUAUAUAUUCUUAUUAAUGAAGCAAAUAUUUUUCAUCAAAUAUCACAUUGAGAAUACUUUCUAUAUAACCGGAUGGUAAUUUAAUAUUCCUAUAGUUAAAAGUUUAUAAUAUUUUCACUACUUCGAUCACCAACAUAUUUUACCACUAUUCAACUUAAAUUGAAUAAUAAAAAUUUAAAUACUUUCAAUCAAAUAUAUAGGAGAUUAAUACUAGAAUAUUACAAAUCGCGGACCAAACAGAGAAAUUAGUAUCAUUACCAUACAUUCCUCCAAAUAAUAUAAAUUAGAAUUAAAUACUUUUUCGAGCAAAACGUGUAUAUUCGUGUGUUUUAUGAACAUCUUAAAAGAAUUUUUUUUAAAAAGAUGUGAACCAUAAAAAAUAAAAUAGGACAUGAUUACUAUGUUUAUUUAAUACGUGAUAUCUACUUUCAACACCUUACUUCGAUACGUGUUAGGCCCAAAAUUAAGGAUUACUAGCGACACGGAUAUCUAAUCGAAUGUAAUUACAUGACAUUUAUAUAUUAAACCAUUUUUGAUUAUAUGUAGUAUAUAGAGCCAACUCACGUGGAUGAUAGGUGCUACUGGCCCGUGCCACAAUCAACUUUGUGUGCUUGGUGCAACUAUAGCACAAGAAUAUGGAGAUUAGAAGAAGAAAUUAAGAGGAGGAAGAAGAGGAAACUAGAAGAAGAUGAUGAAGAUUGAGCACAAAGAAAGAAACGCAGAAGUGGAAAUUAAGGAGGAAGAAGAAGAUUAAGAAGAUAAAGAAUUAAAGAUGGUGAAGAAGAAGAAAGAAGAAGAAAAAGGAGAAGAAAGAAGAAGAGCAUUUAAAAAAAAAAACAAGAAUGCAAAGAGGAGAAGAAGAAUAAUUAAGAAGGCGAAAGAAACAGAAGAAGAAGAAGAAGAUAGAUGGAGAGGAGGAAAAGGAGGAGAAGGCAUUAGUGGCCGGCCAGAAAUUAUAGCUGUGAAACAAGUUCUCAUACUGUGUGAAAGCUAGCUCUUGAACCAGCUCAAAAUUACGAGCCAAUACCCUCGUGCAUUGUAUAUAUAUAGCCCAAGAUUUUUAUUUGGAUAAAUUACACUUUUGGUCCUCAAACUAUUAAUGGCAAGACACUUAGUCAUUAAAUUUUAAUUUAUUAUAAUUUUUUAUUUGAACUUUUUAAGUUAUUACAAUCAAGCCUCACAACCUAAUUUUCUUGACUAAAUAUUAAUGAAUUAUUAAUAUGAAAAUGAUGCACUAUUUUAGUUAUUAUUGUAUCAUCAAUUACGACAUUACGACAUCACUUCUAUAUUAGUAAUUAAUCACCAUUUUGAUUAAAAAAAUUGGAUGGUGGAAUUGGAUUGGAAUAAUUAAAAAAGUUCAAGCCAAAAAUUGCAAUGAAUUGGAGUUUGAGCUCUAAAGUAUCACGUGUCCCAUAGUUUGAGGAUCAAAACUAUAUUUUACCCUUUCGUUUUUAUUCAACAUGAGUUUAUUAUUUUAACAAACUUCAGGUUGUUUAAAUAAAAUAAUAGUUUAAUCUUUGAAAAUUUUGAUUUUACAUUCUAACAUUUUGGUUCAUGUUAUGUAAAGUCAUUUGAUGACUCUAAAAAAUAUAGCUUACGCUCGAUUUAUGCAUACAACCAUAUUUUGGUCUUUAUUUAUCCGAUAUAUAUGGUUUAAUCUCCAUGCCCAAAAAUUGAUGGAUCUAAACUAUGUGAUGUAUAAUGGACAGAUGAUACGCAGUGCACAAAUAUACAGAUGCACUAGGUUCAGAUAAAAAUUUUGCAAGAGACAAGUCAAAUAAAUUGAAGAUAAUUAAUAAAAUCAAAUUUUCAAUUAUUAGAUAGUUGUAUACAAAGGACUCAAAAUGAUCAAUUUUAUAUAUUUUCAUAUAGAUAUAGACAAUUCAGUUUAAACUUUUAGAUCCUAUUUGGAUGUUGGUACGAGAAUUUUCCCUUGUAACCAAAAGCUAAGAAUUUAAUUUUCGUCUCUUGAAAGUUUUUUUUUUUUUGAGAGAAAAAGAUUACAUGAUAUCCGCAUCGUUUACUUUUUAUAAAAAUAAACUUGAAAAUAUGAAACAACUAGAUUUCGAACUUGAAACCUCGGAUACCAGCUACCAAAUUUUUUGAAAGAUUUUGGUAUUCAUAAUACAAUAGAAUAAUGUGUUUCACAUACGAAAUGGUUUAUUUUAUUUCGAAAAAAAGACUUUUAAGGUCUAGCUUUUGUUUUGAUUGACGAAACUGUAGGGUGAAAUGGCUCUACCAAGAGUGGGACACCUGCUGUUUGUUCAUAAUAAACAAGCAUCAUGGACCGAAAGUGACAAUAUAUCCGAGACAGAUACACCAACAACCCAUCACAACCUCAGCAAUUAAUAAUAUCUAACAAUUUUUCUACUCUUGCAGGCCAACUUGUAUACUAUAUAUAGGUCGGGAAGACUAGGAAGAAGUUAGGUUCUUAAUUUGGAAGACUAGCAAGGAGUUAGCUAAUAAUCUUUGAAGGAUCUCCCGCGCCCUCAACAAAUUGAAGAGGAGGUGGCCAAAGAUUUACUCAACUGUACAAGCUAGAUUUAAAUAGUGUGGACAAGAAGAUACUAUAUAUAUAUAUAUAAGCUAGGAUUUGGUAUCUUUUAUUUCACUUAUUUCACCGGUGACCACAUGCACCCACACAAUCUCGUGGGCAUUAUAACAUAAAAAUAUAAAAUAUAAAAUCAGAGUGGUUGAUAGAUAUGUUUGUCAAUAUAUAUGUUAUAAGAAUGAUAUGUAAUUACGUAGGGGUAUAAUGGUUAGCCCAAGCUUAAUUAUCUGGUACGUCUAGCUAACAAUGUAACAUGUCUUAUGAAAUUCAUCUGGUUGAAAAUUGAAUGUCUAUCAUUUCUGUAAGUUCUUAAACCAUUCACGUACAUGUAAAUCAAUCAACUCUAUACGGUAAACUUAAUUCUCUACUUUUGUCAUCCUCACAGGCACGGUAUUUAAGUUCUUGCAAGUCACUAUAAACUCUCUCACUUGAGCAUAUACGUCGAUUGAUAUCUAACGCCUUUCUUUGUAAAUUAAACUAUCAGACUCUUUAUAUAUGGAUCAUUGCAACCCCCCCUGAACUCAAGACAACGCGCCUAACCUCUACGUCGACUCGGUUCUUUUUUGAGUGCAACAAAGUAGCAUGUCAUACUUUUAUGAUUUUUUGUGAGCAUACAUGCAUGUCACGAUUAUAAUCAUUUUCUCUGCGUUGAUUAUAUACAAUAUUAGUUAGGGGUGUAAACGAGCCAAACACGAGUGAGUUGGGGUCGUCUCGUGUUCGGCUCGUUUAUUAAACGAGCCAAACAUGAGCUGGCUCGUUAAAGUAUCGAACCGAAAAAUUCAGCUCGUAUUCCGCUCGUUUAUUAACGAGCCCAACACAAGCUGACAGACGAGCUGGCCAACGAACAAUAAAUUAAAAAAGAAUAGAUUAAAUAUAUAUAAAAAAUAAAUUUAUAAAAUCUUAUCUAUUAGACUUUCAUCUAAUUGUUGAAACUUUACAUAUAAAUAAAUCUUUUUAUAAGUAAUCUCGCAUUUAUAUUUUUAUUUUGCUAAAAUUUAAAUAAUAAAAAUAUAUAUUAUAUAUAAUUAUUUAUUUAUAUAUAUAUAAAUAAAUUAAAUAAAUUAUAUAAAUAUAAAAUAUAUGUAUUUGAGCUCUUAUCGAGCCGAACACGAGCGAGCUAACCCCAGCUCGUGUUCGGCUNUCAUUUAUUAAACGAGCUGAAAAAUCCAGCUCGUGUUCGGCUCGUUUACUAAACGAGCGAGCCGAUCUCGAACUCAUUUCGAGCCGAACACGAGCUGGCUCGCAAACAGCAAGCCGGCUUGCCAACCCUAAUAUUAGUUUGUUAUUUUCUUACAUUUACGAUCAAUUUAAUGUCUGAAAUAGUUAGCGUACAUUAUUAGAAUUUUUCUUUCUUUAUGUCAUGUAAUUAUUAUAUUGUAUGAGACGGUUAAAUAUUGUUGUUGCAAACUCAAGCUCUUACCUCCCAUUCAUACAACUUUCCGUUUUCGGCAAUGCGGAUAUAUACCUCCAAUAUCAUUCCUUUCGUUCCCUAGCUCUCCUCCUCUUCCGCAAACCGUCGAACACUUCAUGGGCGUGAACGGUGAAGUGAAACCCACUCACGACAAAUCGCUCCUUCAUUCGUACGCUCAUGUUUUAACCAUGCACAAGUAAAUGUAUAAAUAAAUAAAUAAAUAUAAAGAGUUAUGGGGAGAGAGAGAGAGAGAGAGAGAGAGAGAGAGAGAUGGGGGGAUCGAGAGAGAGCUUGGCGCGACCACCUCGUCGAUGCUCGGCACCGUUGAUUCCUCCGAUCUGGGCGGAGACGGCGGAAUCCAUCGCCUACGAUUCCGCCACGUGGCCUCCGCCCAUUGCCUUGGUUUGUGGGCCCGGAAACAGUGGCAAGUCAACUUUUUCGCGCCUCCUCCUUAACACCCUUUUAAGAAGGUCUCUGUACCGAGUAGUCGCUUUAGCUGUUCCUUCUCAUUAUUGCUCAAAUUUUAAAUAUUUAUUGAAAUAAAUUUGAUAAUUAUAAUUUUCCAGUACCUUAUUACUAUGAGUUUAUUUUCACGUUGGAUACAGGUAUAAGAGAGUGGGGUAUUUGGAUACGGAUGUGGGACAACCGGAGUUCGCUACACCCGGUUGUGUCUCCCUGCAUAUCGUCGAUAAGCACACCCCUCAAGGCAUGCAUUCGUUUUAUUUUACUCUUCUUUUACAUUAUUUUUUUUAAAAAAAUACAAUUAAGAAUAUUGUAUUUGAUCCUCAAAAAAAUUAAAUAAAUAAAAUAAAAUAAAGGGUAUGGUAGUAACGGACAUUGCUUCUUUCUGUGGUUGCAGAUUUGACGAUUCUGUGCUUGAAGACACCAGAGAAGUACACAUGCAGUCACUAGCCACUAUUUAUGUUCUUAUUGUUUUCCGUAUCAGUUUUAUGGGGGUGAUUGAUAAUGCAUUUACAUCGUGAUUUAUGAUCUACUAAUCUUUUUUAAAGAAUUUAAUAUAUAAUCCUGUUCCUGCGUAAGUUAUAUUUCUCUAAUUGUCUAAAAACAGUAACUAUUAAUUGCUAAUUAUUUGUUUGAUCCACAUUUUUUUGAGUUUGAUUUCCUUCUGAUAACUUUGUUGCAUUUUUUUUCCUUCAUCAGGUGCUUCUUUUUUGGUGAUGUUUGCGCAAAGAAAGAUCCAAAAGCGCAUUUAAACUAUAUCUGCACACUCUAUGAUUAUUUUCUUAUUAACUACCAUCAAUUUGAGGAGGUUGAUGAUCCUGGGAAAGCCCCUGUGCUACCUCUUGUUGUUAAUACCUCAGGAUGGGUAAAAGGUAUGCCUACAUUGCGGCAGUUUCCCUCGACAAAGUGUUCUGUAUUGUUGCUAUAAAUUAAACCGCAUUUUCUCAUCAUAAAUUCAAGUACUUGGUAAUAAUAAGUUGACAUGUUCAAUCCUUUUCUUAUUGAAGGCACUGGAUACGUUACGUUGGUGGAGAUGCUGAGGCAUAUGUCUCCCACUCAUGUAGUGCAGAUUCGAGUUUCCCCGGAGAGUAAGAAUCUACCGAGCGGGAAAUUUUGGUCAGACGGAAACCAAAACACGCCGGUUAAUGUGAUCGAAAUACACGGGACAGGCAAUGAUGCUUCUGUUCGCUCGUAUGUGAAAUUGAUGUCAUACCUACUCUAAUAAGCUUUCUUUUCUGUAAUUGUAGAAGAAUGAAUGGUGGAUGUUGUGUGUAUGUUUUUGGCUGCAUGAAUGUGUUUUCGAUUGUGUCUUUAUUUUGCAGGGUUUCGACUAAAAGAGAGGCGCGCAUUAUGCGAGACAUUCGGAUAAUUUCUUACUUCAGGCAGUGCUUGCCAAGAGAUUUUAAGAUCUCAACCUACACAGAGCUACGUCGAUGCUUGGCCUCUAUUGCUCCUAUCGGACUUCACCUCUCCAGCAUAAAAAUUGUGCAUCUGCAUUGCCAGGUGAUCACUUGAUUAUUUUUACUUUUAUGCUCCAACAAAAAAUAUAUUGAUAUUCUCACAGAAGAGCGAAACAAGUAUAGUAUAAUGAAUUAUAAGAAUACUUGUUUGCAAUGGCCUUUGGUUCAUAAUUUACUUUUCCAUCAAUAAAAUGCAAAGUCACCUAUCUUUUGCACAUUUACAAAGAAAUAUAUUAAAUAAUCUGUUGAUUAUAACUCGUAAAGUCACACACCAACUUAUGUUGAUGUUGUGUUUAUUCUACACUUGAUAGGUUCCAAGUAACAUGAUUUAUGAGAGUUUGAUUGGUUCGAUCGUCGGCCUUGCUGAUAGUUCCUUGUUUCCUACCUCAUCUAGAUGCUGCACACCUUGGUGCCUUGGACUAGGUAAGUUUCAAUUAUACUACCUGAUGAGCUUAAAGUCUAGUACUAUGGAAAGAUAAAUAGAUUGUGGAAGGCCUGGCCCGAUCCCCCCAGCCCGUAAAGGCCCAUGAAUAGUUCUAUUUGGGAAAAAAAUUCUAGAAUGUACCAGAUAUAUUGGUGAUGUGGCGUAACAAACCAAUCAAAUAUCCCCAUUUAGAGAUUAUGUUCCAUCAUGAUUGUAAAAAAAUAUUUUUAUUGUACUUUUGUUUGAAAAGAAGAAAUGUGAUUAGCUUGUUAUUGAUGACGUGGUGCAAGUGUGACAGUGUAGAAUACCUCCUAUUUGGGAGGUAAAUUGUGACUCUUUGGAUGAUAUCUUAUCAUCAGCAUGCCUAAUACAGGGAUUGUCAGAGCUGUAGACAAUUCAGAGGAUCGGAUUUAUGUGAUUACGCCUGUUUCUCGCCGGGUUCUGGAAAGAGUUGAUCUUGUUUUUCAGGGAUCUGUUGAGAUCCCUACUUGUCUUUUGCAGGUAAUUGAGUUCACAGUGCUCUGUUUUUGCUGAUUUACAAAUUUCAGAAUAACUUUUAUGCUUCAUUUCAAGAUAAUAAGCAUAAGGCACUGUCAAACUCAAGCCCAGAGGAUGAAUUUGCUUUGUGUAUCAACUUAAACUCACAUUAUCACGAUCGCCAUUAGAUUAAUCGAACCUUCAACCAAUUAGAUUCGAUCCAAAAUUUUAUAGUGUUGCUCUCAAUUUUAUAGUUCACUCCUUGUUCCUUUUGUUUGAACUUACUGUUACCUACUCAACAUACGCAUACUUAGCGUCAAGGAGAAUCAAACACUUAAUACUGAUUUUCAUGGUUUGGGCCAUCAUAUUUUGUGAUAAGCAGAUGCUUAGAUGGUGGAUUAUAAAUACUUUAUUCAUACAUCUCUGAACCUCUUCUGAUCGUAAUUUAUGCAACUUCGCAGGUAGAAGCACCUACACUUUUGGGGCUCUCUAAGAUGAAGCAGCUUUAGGAAAGUAGAUUAACAUAUGUUGGUUUCAAUUGUUACAGCCAAUCACCAUAUACUAUACUAUUAUUUCUCAAAAAAGAAAAAAAAAAACCAAAACUGCUUGACAUUCACUAAUUCAUGUUGACAAAGUUGAAAAGUUAUGGAUUGAUUUUAAUUUCCUUAUUUUUGUCAUUGGUGGUUUUUUGGUAACAGUUCGUUAUUAGUAAUUAACUAGGCAAACUAGAACAGCCAAAAAAAAAAGAGAAGAAAAUAUUCUUUUUUUUGAGAGAGAAAGAAGAGAAUAUUCUCAAUAGCUUGUUUCAAUGGAUAAAAAAGAAGAGGAAAAAAUAAACAGAGUUGGGAGAGUAAAUUAUGAUCUGUCAAAUGAAACCUGAGAGGAACAAGGCAGACAAACAGAGGGAGAAACAGAGUAUACAAAUGGUUUUAAAGGCAGAAAAGAAAAGAAAAAGAAGCACGCGGCAUUUCUUAUAAGCAAAAGAAAAACAUACAUGUUCUAAUCGUUCAGCAUUCAGAAAGCUAUUAAAAAUUACACAAAGCAUUGGAUACCAAAGAAGCGCAGCUGUGUCGAUGCUGUAAGUUACAAAAUUGUUCCAUAGCGCAGGUACGAAACUUAAAGCAUGUCACAAAUAUCAUCAUCUUUUAAAUCUGUCGGUAAUAAGUAGCUGUCGGGAGCGUAGAUGGAAAGCCAGUAGAAGCCGAGGCCGACCGCCAGGGCCGCGGCGCACCAGACGACCGCAAGCAUCAUGUCUGCCACUCCGUAGGAGAGCAUUGCAGUUAUGAAAGAGGCGAGAAACCACACGGCAGUCCUGAGACGGCACCGCCGCGGGGAAUUGGAAUUGGGCGGCGCAGCUACGAGCAGGUGAAGGAUGUGAAACAUCAGCAGCAGGUCGAGGAAGGAGAGAACGACGAAGGCCACCGGCCAUGGGUAGCCCCUCGCCCGAUAGACCGCCACCGCGGUGUUGAAGGCAAGGAAGAUCAAAGCUGCCGACGGCAGCCUGGAGAAGGCGUCUAACGCCCGACGGGGCUGCGCCGGAGGAGGAUUUUGGUUUUGGUUUUGGUUUUGGUUGGUGUCCUGGCGGUUCUGUUCAGCACGAGCUUU